CACUCUCCCUCCUCAGCUCCCCAAAAUUUCGCCAAUACUCAGUAAAACAAAACCCUACCUCCCAAAUCAGACCUCAGAUCCGCUCCUCUCUCUCACUCUCUUACUCUCCGAUCCCUUCUCACCCUCUCUCUCAGACGACGCCAGCCUCCACCACACUCCCUUCGCACUCUCUCAGAUGUAGCUCCACCGCGAACCUCCUCCACCGCCACAGCCGCCGACCCCACCGCUGAUUGCUUCGUCGUUUCUUUCGAUCCGACGCCACCAUCGACUCUGCGCUGCCACCGCCUCUCCUGCGAAGACGCCGACGCUGCCACCGCCUCUGCCCCAGCCCUCAUCGUCCACUGCCGCGUUCAAGCAGGUUCGUUUUUGUUUUUGUUUUUUUUUUUAAUUAUAGUUAAUAAUAUAUGUGUGUUUUAUUGUUGUCUUGACAAGAUUUCUCCAGCCCAGACGACACACUGCCGGUGCCAUCUUCUCCCCCCGAUCUGCAGAAAAAGUAUACUUCAAAAAAUGAACCUGAGUAAGUUUGAUGGUAUUGAGGAAGGUGGCAUUAGGGCUUCAUUAUCAUACUCUUCUCAUGAGAUUGAUGAACAUGAGAAUGAAAAAGCACUGGAAGGACUGCAAGAUAGAGUCAAUUUGCUAAAAGAGUUAGUUGAGAUGCUGGAUGGUUAAGAAAGAAAAUGAAAUUGAUAGGAUGAAGAAAGAAAAUGACAGCAUGCAGAUUGAGCUCAGUCUGUUAACCUUACCAGCUGCAGGAAGAUCAUUGGAGCAAUCUCAACAUGUCAAUUCAGUUGCCAAUCUUGACUGCACACUUCCUCCUGUGGUCCAAUGUUGGUGGCAGUAUGGAGAGAAGUAUUAGUUUGGAGAUUGAAUCAGAAGUUCAAGUAUGGAGAGAAGUAUUAGUUUGGAGAUUGAAUCAGAAGUUCAAUUCCAGAAUGUUAUAAAUUUCAACUAUAUAUUCAUAUUCAAGAAUGAAUUCUCUUAAUAAACUAUUCUAGAAUCUUUUAAA